rnacentral:rRNA from 1 species
UUNNAAAUUUUUAUAGAAUUUUAUUUUUUAGUUAAAAAGCUAAAAUAAAUUCAAAAGACGAGAAGACCCUAUAAAUCUUAAUUAUUUAAUUAAUUUUUAUUAUAUAUUGAUUAAUUUUAUUAUAAUUAAUUAAAUAAUUUUAUUGGGGUGAUAUUAAAAUUUAAUGAACUUUUAAUUUUUGUUUUCAUUUAUUUAUGAUUAAUUGAUCCAUUUUUAGUGAUUAAAAAUUUAAGUUACUUUAGGGAUAACAGCGUAAUUUUUUUGGAGAGUUCUUAUCGAUAAAAAAGUUUGCGACCUCGAUGUUGGAUUAAGAUUCAUAUUUAAAUGCAGAAGUUUAAAUAUUAAGUCUGUUCGACUUUAAUUUCUUACAUGAUCUGAGUUCAAACCGGUGUAAGCCAGGUUGGUUUCUAUCUUUGAUUUUUAAAAAUAUUUUAGUACGAAAGGAAUUAAUAUUUAUUAUUUAAUAAUUUUUAUUAUGAAU